UGAAGCCGGACACGCGGGAGGUGACAGCGUUUGACGGAGCGCAGAUUGACAGGAAUGAUUGAUGACGUGCUCCCAGGCGUGCUGCUGCUGACCAGUGGACAGAGAUGAGAUCAUGUGACCGGGCGGCUCACCUUGCCGUACCAUGGACUUAGCCAAGCCAUAUCCUACCAGGGACCGGGGGGCCGAGUCACUGACCUGUCUAUGGUACAAACGUUGACUUUCUGUCAUCAUCCUCCUCAUCAUCAUCAUCAUCCUGGGGAAACUGUACGGCGUCAGAGAGGUGGUUGGUUUCUGACAGGAGAAGAGGAGCCCCACUUCACUUCCGACUCAAAAUACUGCAGCGGCUCCACGGCAGCUCACCAACCUGUCUGACGGCGGUGUAAGGACGCCGCCCGUACGGCCGAGUCAGACUGGAGACAGGAAACGCGGCGCCACUUCCAGAGAGCUGCUGUUGAUGAGCC